CCUUGUUAUGCUGAGCUUCCUUUCUUCUUAGGGAGAAAGAAUGAAGCAAAUAGAAAGUAAACGCCACUCAGAAGUUCCAUCUUUCCCCGGUGGAAAUAAGGAAGCUGCCUGCAGCGCUGCUCAGUUUUGAGAUUUAUCUGUGGGACAGGAAACACUGAUCGGUGCAAUAGUCCAUGAGAGGAGGAGUGGGAAAAUGAGGAGGAAGAGAAACACGUGUCAUGUCUGCUGGCUGCUUCUGGCUGUGCUCCGAAUGGGGACGCCAUCAUCAGGUAACUCUUCACAUGCAUUAGCUUUACGGACGUCAUGGUUAUAUUUGUGAUAGUUGCACAGUAAUUCAUGG